rnacentral:rRNA from 1 species
ACGGAAGGCAGCAGUGGGGAAUUUUGCGCAAUGGGGGGAACCCUGACGCAGCAACGCCGCGUGCGGGACGAAGGCCUUCGGGUCGUAAACCGCUUUCAGCAGGGAAGAUAGUGACGGUACCUGCAGAAGAAGCUCCGGCUAACUACGUGCCAGCAGCCGCGGUAAUACGUAGGGAGCGAGCGUUAUCCGGAUUCAUUGGGCGUAAAGCGCGCGUAGGCGGCCGCCUAAGCGGAACCUCUAAUCCCGGGGCUCAACCUCGGGCCGGGUUCCGAACUGGGCGGCUCGAGUGCGGUAGGGGCAGGCGGAAUUCCCGGUGUAGCGGUGGAAUGCGCAGAUAUCGGGAGGAACACCGAUGGCGAAGGCAGCCUGCUGGGCCGACACUGACGCUGAGGCGCGAAAGUGUGGGGAGCAAACAGGAUUAGAUACCCUGGUA